ACGGCCGUACCAUGCUGAAUAUACCGGUUCUCGUUAGAUCACCGAAGUCAAGCAUCAUUGGGCGCGGUCAGUACUUGGGUGGGUGACCACCUGGGAACAC